CAGCAGCCACGGUAAAACGUAGGGUCCGAGCGUUGUCCGGAAUUACUGGGCGUAAAGAGCUCGUAGGUGGUUUGUCGCGUUGUUCGUGAAAACUCACAGCUCAACUGCGGGCGUGCGGGCGAUACGGGCAGACUAGAGUACUGCAGGGGAGACUGGAAUUCCUGGUGUAGCGGUGGAAUGCGUAGAUAUCAGGAGGAACACCGGUGGCGAAGGCGGGUCUCUGGGCAGUAACUGACGCUGAGGAGCGAAAGCGUGGGGAGCGAACAGGAUUAGAUACCCGUGUAGUCCCUGUCUCUUAUAC
rnacentral:rRNA from 1 species